rnacentral:snoRNA from 1 species
UCUGCCCCUAGAGGUGUUGCAGGUGUGGCUGCUGUGUCCCAUUUGCGUCAGUAGGUGGCAGAGAGAAGAGAGGCUAUUUCUACACUCUGAAACAUGAAAACAAAUAACCUGACAAA